UCUGAUGUGGUGGAGGGUGCACGCCCGCUCUCAGUUGUUGUCGCGAUGCAUAAUUUGAAGCGGGAAGCCUGGGGUCGACUCCCAGCGUCCGAA